GGAGAGGUAGCGUAGUCUGGCCUAACGCGCGCGCCUGGAGAGCGCGUUACCCGCAAGGGUACGCGGGUUCGAAUCCCGCCCUCUCCG
rnacentral:tRNA from 1 species